CUAAGAGGAAGAGAGAAAAAAGAAGAAAAGAGCAUGCAAGGGAAGGCUCGCUUUUAGGAGAAAAAUGUGAAGAAAUCAAAUGACUUCCAUGGGAGAUCCGCCCAUUUGGAAGAGAAUGAAGAAAGAAUGGCUUGGUGAGGCUUCCAACUGAGAAAAAAAAACAAAGAGUGAGUGGAAAGGCAAGCUAAGUGAAGGUUUGGUUUAGGGGAGCCAAAGGAAACCAAGAGGUUUUCCCCCCACCCACACUCCAUUGAUGAAGUUAAAGGAGAUUUGGUGAUUCGGUUCAAAAAUUCCAAGGAUCUACAAAGAUUCAAAGAACCCAAUGCAUACAUGUAGGUGGAUCUUGGAAUGUAUGGUGAUUUUGAGCUAGACAAGCUAUGGAUAGCGGUCAGCCUAGUGUGCAUUCAUCGACAAUUUCAAUCCUUUGUGGAUAGGUAAAGGUAUCUUAUAGUACGUUAUUCUGAGUCACUCCACUGUUAGAGGUCAAGUUGUCAUAGUGUAAAUUGUUAUGAAAUUAGACAAUUGUAUCAAUACAAAUGUAUAUUUGGAGAUUAUAAGUCAUGAUAUAUUAUUUUACAAUUAUGUGGAAUAAAGGUUUAUUAGAUUUAUAAAGAUUAUUGUUUAAUUCUUAUUACAAAGAGUUUUAUGGUCUAAGGAAAUUUUUUUAGAUUGAUGGUAUGAAUAUGAGGUAAUGACUAACGCUUUAAGUAAGGCUGGUUCGAGACUUGACAGGUUCUCCCGCAAUACUCGGACGCCAGUAGCGAUCGAGGAGCGGUCGUUACAAGUUACAAACACGGCAAGAAACUAGAGUUUAUGAAUGACACCAAUGAGCAAGUUUAAGGUUAUACAAGUAAGUUUUAUUCCUAAAUGCAUUCGUGGAUUUGCAUAAGUAAAUGUGAAUGUUUUUAAGAAAUUAAGCAUGGUUUAUAAAGUUUCUAAAGUUGUUGCUUAUUCCCCUCUAUAUCCCUCAUUAAGUAAUUGUACUCACGUUUUCGAAUCUCAUGUUUUGUAAAUCUGAUGCUUCCCAAGAUAUAGACAUGUGAAGGAUUUGCAUACGUAUUAUGGUAGGCUCAAUGACCAAGGAAUUCGGUAAUAUCUUUUGCACCUUAAAGUCACUCCACCGGUAGCUGGUCGUUUAGUUAUGUUAUGUAACAAACCAUGUGGCCUUGUAUGUACAAAUUAAUGUGGGUUAUGGGACAUUAGUGAAUUAUCCAAUAUACAUUAAUGUAGCCAUGUGUUGGUAAAUGAUAGAUAAGUUAACAAAAUGCUAAUUUUAAGUAACGAAAAUGUGUUUGGCACAAUGUAGAGCUUUGUCCAUAUGUUUAAAAAAAUGUUAUGUAUGUCAAUUAUGCCUUAUGAAUCAGUGUUAAAGGUUCCCAUUAUGGACUAAGUAAUCAAGAAAGAUAGUGAAUCAUAUGUGGGCCUGGUGGAUUACCUCUAUUGCAUCCUUAUGCUAGUCAUGGCCCGAGACAGGGUCAUGACAGCAACCUUCACUCAACUUUGUAACAAUAAAUAUAGUCUUAAAACACAAGAGAUUUCUUUAUAACUAUAUAUUUUAGAAUAUAAGAUUUCUUUUUUUGUAAAAUGGUAUCAAAGCCAUCCUGGACGCCGACAAUCAUCUUUCAUGCAUCAAUAGCUUCUGUUUCAUGUGUUAAUUGUCCAUGUAUUGACGUUUUCUACCAUGUGAGCUUUUCUACAAUGUAUUUUGCCACAUUUGUAUUUUGUAUCUGUAUUUUGUAUCAUGUAGUAUCUUCCGCACCUUAAAGUCACUCUACAUAUUAUAUCACGUAUUUUGACAAGUAUUCUACUAUAUUUUCUAUCAUGUAUUUUACUAUUUGUUUUAUCACAUUGAUCUGCACUUUCAUAAGGUCAUUCUUUCUCUUAAUUUUCACUUCUUGGUUUCUCUUUCAGUCUUUAUUUUUGUUAAUUUUAAUUGUGAGAUGGAGAAAUAUAAAAUUGUUAGGUCAACUGCAAUUGUUUUGAUAACAAGUAACCACAAUCUAUGGGUCCAGGGUAUAAAAUGUUUUCUAAUUGGAUGCAAACAUUGCUAUAUUGUCACUAGAAAACAUCUUUCAACCAUUAGUCGGUUUCAAGACUUAGUUUCUAAAUUCAAAUUGGCAUUUACAUACCACCUUGUAUUUACGGCGAUGUUAAAAUAAGUGUACAAAUUCAAUGAAAUAGUUAGAAUACAAUAUUAUUUUUUGACUAGUUAACUAGUUAGAUUACAAUACUAUUAAUUUG